ACGAACGCUGGCGGCUGCUUAACACAUGCAAGUCGAACGGAGUGGCGAACGGGUGAGUAACGCGUGAGCAACCUGCCGAUGACAGGGGGCUAGCCUCGGGAAACCGGGAUUAAUACCGCAUAGUCAUAGAUGGGCUCGCGUCUGAUUAGCUAGUUGGGGAGAGAACAGCUCACCAUGGCGGGGAUCAGUAGCCGGUCUGAGAGGAUGAGCGGCAAAAUGGGAACUGAGCCACGGUCAGAACUCUUACGGGAGGGAGCAGUGGGGAAUAUUGCACAAUGGGGGAAACCCUGAUGCAGCGACGCCUCGUGAACGAAGAAGGUAUUCGUAUCGUAAAGUUCUGUCCUAUGGGAAGCAGUACCAGAGAAGAAAGCUCCGGCUAAAUACGUGCCAGCAGCCGCGGUAAUUC
rnacentral:rRNA from 1 species